UACGGAAGGCAGCAGUGGGGAAUAUUGCACAAUGGGCGAAAGCCUGAUGCAGCUAUGCCGCGUGUAUGAAGAAGGCCUUAGGGUUGUAAAGUACUUUCAUCGGGGAGGAAAAACAAAACUAAUAAUUUUAUUUCUUGACGUUACCCGAAAAAGAAGCACCGGCUAACUCCGUGCCAGCAGCCGCGGUAAUACGGAGGGUGCUAGCGUUAAUCAGAAUUACUGGGCGUAAAGAGCACGUAGGUGGUUUUUUUAAGUCAGAUGUGAAAUCCCCUGGGCUUAACCUAGGAACUGCAUUUUGAAACUGAAAUACUAGAGUAUCGUAGAGGGAGGUAGAAUUCUAGGUGUAGCGGUGAAAUGCGUAGAUAUCUGGAGGAAUACCUGUGGCGAAAGCGGCCUCCUAAACGAAUACUGACACUGAGGUGCGAAAGCGUGGGGAGCAAACAGGGAUUAGAUACCCGU
rnacentral:rRNA from 1 species